rfam:TPA: Bos taurus chromosome 19, whole genome shotgun sequence.
UCCCUGGUGGUCCAGUGGUUAAGACUCUGCACUUUGACUGCAGUGGGCAUGAGUUCGAUCCCUGGUCAGGGAA